GCAGUACUGACAGAACAAAACAGAAGUAUUUAAAAAAUGCAUUUGUCAUUUUUAUUCACAAGGUCUGUCAAAACUGGAUCUUUUUGCAAACAUGAGGCCCCUCCCAUGAACUCUUAGGUAAAUUUUAAGAAAGUUUGCUUCCCUUCGUGUCUUGUGAAACAUUGGCACACCCAACUGGGCAUAGAAGAUGUCAGGUGAAACCUCAGUGAGUCUGGCAGAGCAGAAACUCGAACCCAGCUCCCUGCCACAUUCCUACUGAGAACUUUUUGGAGACUUGAUACCUUCUGUGUUUUUUUCACAUUUAUUUUCGUAAAGGCUUUGGUUCCAUUCUAGUAUGGAACCAAAUGUCAAUGUAUAGAGUAAAUAUCAAUGGUUUGUGAAGUGAAAAAGUUCAAUCCUGGCUUCUUAAAGUAUCAGAAAUAUAUGUCUUUACUAAAAAAUAUAUAAUCUUCACUAGAAAAAGUAAUCUGCUUCAAACAGCAAGAUUGAAUGAUUCCGGGAAAAAAGUCAUGUUGUGUGCUGCUUUCAAGAACAUGGAGGAAAAUAAAUAGAGAUCUUAAUCCAUAAUACCUUUAUGAUGAAAUAGCAUUACUAAGUGUUACUGCCUCAAGAAAAGUUCUUGGUUAGAGCUAAGGCACAAAUGCUGUCUUGUGUUCAGAAUAGAAGAAGGUAGAAUUAACCUGAAUGGUUGGUUAUAAAUUGCUUCAGAAUCACAGGAGCAAUUUGGGGGCAGAAUUUGAUUCCAAGUGAGGGAUAGCUCAACUAUAUGUAGGAAUAAUUUGCUAUUGAGCAUGUUUCAGUCAAGGUUCUUGUUUUAUUGUGAUUGAUGAUUAUUAACUGCUUAAUAAAGUGCAAUGUGAAGGGCUUUUGUUUGUUUGUUUUCCCCCUGAGAGAAAAGGUUUGCCAGAACAUGUUUCCCUCUUUUCUGGUUUGUGCUGAACAGAAAGCUAUAUUUUUAAAAGCAACCUUAAUUUCAUCUCUGAAAGUACUUCCUGGUUUGUAUUUUGCAUCCAGUUAUGUCUGUUGUUGCUUUUGGCCCACAGGAAGCCCAAAUAAAUAGUGGAAAAGCAGAAACAUUCAUUAAUAUUGAAAAAUCAAUAUUAAGUUACAGCCAUAUUUGUUUGGCAGUAAGCCCUGCGGAAGUAGACACCCAUGGAGAUUAUUAGUACUCCUGACCUGGAUAGUUUACUUAAUAAAGAGUUUAAAA